UGGGGGAAGUAUUUGGACAAUGGGCGAAAGCCUGAUCCAGCCAUGCCGCGUGUGUGAAGAAGGUCUUCGGAUUGUAAAGCACUUUAAGUUGGGAGGAAGGGCAGUAAGCUAAUACCUUGCUGUUUUGACGUUACCGACAGAAUAAGCACCGGCUAACUCUGUGCCAG
rnacentral:rRNA from 1 species